rnacentral:lncRNA from 1 species
GGGAGAAGCGAAUACCACGUAAGGGAAAACUCGAGGCGACGCGAGCGGGAGGCGCCGGAGUACCGACCGACACCGCACCACCCACGGGACCGGUACUCGGAGGAGAUAAGAGGCAACGAAGAGUGGAGCGCUCAAGAGGAAAGAGGUUACACAUGAAGCUGGAGGAAGUAAGGUAUGGGUGGGAGUCGCCCAGGGGGAGCAGACGAAGCGGGCCCACACCCCCGCCCAAGGAGAGGAGGUCGAGCCGGUCACGGUCCUGGGAGAGAAGGGAGAGCAGGGCGAAGAAGAAGGAGCACGAGAGACUUCGUUGGAGGGAGCGCAGAGAGGCCGGAGAAGGAGCGUGCGGAAAGGGAGAGCAAGCGAGAGAGGGUGCAACUCGUGGAACUGAUAUCCACUCUACAAGAGAGCCAGCGCCAGCUGCAGGAG